UGCCUUGGGCUGCACACGUGCUACAAUGGUCGGUACAAAGAGGUGCGAUACCGUGAGGUGGAGCGAAUCCCAGAAAACCUGUCUCAGUCCGGAUUGAAGUCUGCAACUCGACUUCAUGAAGGCGGAAUCGCUAGUAACCGCCGAAUCAGCAGGUCGCGGUGAAUACGGUUCCCGGGCCUU
rnacentral:rRNA from 1 species